rnacentral:misc_RNA from 1 species
AGCAAGUGCUUGGUAAGUCCAUUUAGAGUUCUUGAGACUAAAGUUUGCCCUGUUCAUAGUUUGCUGAGCUUCUGAUGUUGAUGGCUGUCUCUUAAUCGUGAAGAUUAAUAUGUUAAAGAAAGUGGCAAUUAGAAACAACCUCAGACACAAAAAUUGUUAUGAUUGCAUUGUGGAUUAAUUUGAAGAUAAUGCAGGUUUCUGAUCUUCACUU